rnacentral:rRNA from 1 species
UACGGAGGGUGCGAGCGUUGUCCGGAAUCACUGGGCGUAAAGGGCGCGUAGGUGGCGACCCAAGUCGAUGGUGAAAGCUCGCCGCUCAACGGCGAGUCGGCCACCGAUACUGGGUUGCUUGAGCACUGUAGAGGCUAAUGGAAUUCCGGGUGUAGCGGUGGAAUGCGUAGAGAUCCGGAAGAACACCGGUGGCGAAGGCGGUUAGCUGGGCAGUUGCUGACACUGAGGCGCGACAGCGUGGGGAGCAAACAGG